rnacentral:lncRNA from 1 species
GAUACAUUUGACAAUAUACAACUUUGGCUAUGUUUGGCGUACUAACUGAAAAGCUAGCUGCUAGCUGAAAAGCUAGCUGUUAAAUAAAAAGCUAGCUCAUAGUUGAAAAGCUAGCUGAUAAAAAAUAACGUUUAGUAAAACUAGCUGAAAAGCUAGCUGAAAUAUAUAAAAUUACAUAAAAGGACAUGUAAGAGUAUGUGUUUCUAUAAUUAAUUAACGGGUGUAUUUGAAAAAUUUUAAAAAAGCUUCUAAAAAGCUAGUCUAAGUAGCUUUUCAAAAAGCUAGCUUAUAAGCUACUUUUUGGCUUACCAAACACGACAACAUAAAAAAGCUCGAAAAAUAAGUUAGCUUAUCAGCUAGCUGUGGCGCACCAAACACAGUUUUUGCCUUGUGAAGAGCUUAUUUCAAGAUCAUAGAUGGAUAGGGUGUGCGAAAAACUGAAACCAAAAAAUCAUGAAUGAAAAACCGAACCAUUUAAAUAACUGACAGUUUGGUUUUUUAUUUUCAUAAAAACUGAUUUUGGGUAGGUUCAGAUUUACCUUUUUAAAACCGAAAUUUAAACCGAAUCGAAUUAAAUUAUCUCAUUUUACCUUUUUGGUGUCAAAGUUUGUUUCUUUCUUGCUUUCAUGUUGUCAAGUUAAAUGUUUUUUUACCAAUUCUUGUAUAAAGCUUUCAAUAUUGUUGCUUUGUUUCUCAAAUUUGUAGUUUAUUUUUUUAAUGCUACUAAUUUGUUUAUUUCUCUACAGAUGGGACCACCGGGUAAUGAGGGGUUUAGAGAGUAUCCAUUGGAUACGGCAAAAUGAGUCUUUGAACUUAAAAGAUAAAAAAAGUUUCUCUUACAAGUGAUAUUUUGACAUUUGUACAAAAUGUGAUCUAUAUGUGUCUUACAGCACAUUUUGGUGGAAAUAAAACUAUGUUUUUAAAUAAAAAGAUCCUCAAUUUUUGCCACAUAGCUAAUCAGAGACGAGACAAUUGGAAAAACGGUUUAUAGGUGUUCAAAAAGGAAAAUUUCAUUUUAACCCUACAGAUUUUUCCCAUUUGUUUUAAAAGAUAACUCAAUUUUNUUUUUUUUUUUUUUUUUUUUUUUUUUUUUUUUUUUUUUUUUGUAGUUGCAAUAUAGUCGAAUGAGACCUCCUAAAUAAAUCCUUAAACAUGUGAAGGUUUUCGAAUAGAUUGCCAUUGCGAUCUGUUGCUUGUUGGUUGGGUUUAGUUCAGGUGGUUGGAUUUAGAGAUGUGGAGUUGGUUGGGUUUAGUUCAGGUGGUUGGAUUUAGAGGUGUGGAGUUGGACGAAAUCAGUUUUUUGGUGGCAAAAUGUGUUUUCUGAUUUCGUGUUUAACUUUUAAUCAAUAGUAUUGUGGGUAAUCUAAUAUGUUUUAGUGUAAUAUUGUGGCCAUUGUGGGUUUUGGUUUGGGUUUUCGUGGGUUUUUGCAACAUUAUAACAUUGCUUUUAUUGAUGGCCACUAUGUUCGUAGUAAUUGUAAUCUCAUGACAAUGUAAUCGUAGUAAUUGUAAUCUCAUGACAAUGUAAUCAGUUUAUGUCGACCAGGUAAUACAUUUUGAUGAAUGGAGAUAUUAUGUAGUUUGGAUUGAAGAGGGUUGUUGCUUAUUAAUGUAAUGUACUUUGAUUGAAACAAUCAUUUUCAAUCAAAGUACAUUUCAUUAAUAAGAAACAAUCAUUUUCAAUAUAAACUACAUAUCAUUUCCAUUCAUCAAAAUGUAUUACCGAGUCGUCAUAAACCUAUUUCAUUGUCAUUGAAUUACAACUACUAUGUAACCAUCAUCAAAAGCAAAUGCAAGGUUAUAAUAUUACAAAAACCCACAAAAACACAAACCAAAACCCACAACGGACACAAAAUUACAUUAAAACAUAUUAGAUCAACCUAAAAUACUACGUGAUCAAAAGUUAAACAUGAAACCAAAAAAACACAUUCCAACUACAAAAAAACCGAUUCCGCCAAAAUCAACACCUUUAAAUCCAACCACAUGAACAAAAAACAAAACCGCCGGACCGAUUGCAAUUACAAUAAUUACAAUCCAUCUAAAGACCUUCACAUGUUCAAAAAAAAAAUUUAAUAAUUCUAGUUUUAAAACAUUAAAAAAAUACUAAAAAAAUACUAAAAAGAACAUAUAAAAAACAAAAAUAUAUAAUUUUUAAAAAAAAUCUAAAAAAAAGCUAUCCGUUUUAUUCUAGAAAAAAAUUAAUUUUAGAAAACAUAAAAAAAAAUAAUAAUAAAUUAAGAAAAUAUUGCAUACAAUAUGUACAAAGUUCGUAAAAGAAUUACACAUGUUCAAAAAGAUCAACCGAAUCUAAAAAUAUUAUUAACAAAACAGUAAAAAAAUUUUAAAAAAUCAAGUUAUAAAAAAUUAUGAAAACUAAAAAAGAAAUUUGUAUCAAUUCUGUAAAUCAAAGAAAAAAAAAAAAAAAAAAAAAAAAAAAAAAAAAAAAAAAAAAAAAAACAAUACCAGAUUUAUAAAAAAAAUCACUUGGAAAAAAAAUGGUCUAAAAAGAUUUUUUUUAAAAAACAAACACACCUUACAGAUUCUAAGUCGACAACAUAAUGAGAUCAAAUAUGUGACCAUAAAAUUAAUUGAAAAUCUUGAAAAGUAAUAUGAAAUAGAUUUUCCCAAAACAAAAUUGACAGUUUGGCUACAAUUUUUUACAAAAAUAAAAUUAAAAAACAUUUAAUAAAAAAGAAAAAGAGACAAACCAGCCAUGGCAUCCCGAAAUGCCAAUAAUUUCUAAAUUCAGCAUAAAUGUGCAGUUGAAACACUAGAUAAUCUCGAAAAUCACAGAUUAAAUGGAAAACAAAAAUCAAAAAAAGCAGAUGAGCCUAGAUCUGUAUAUGUAAAAUCCAGAUCAGUUAACAGUAAAAAGAAAGAAAACUAUUCAAAAAAGGCUCAGAUCUGUAAACGAUCGAACAAAGAGGAUAAAUCCGCCAUGGCUGCAAAUUUACCGAUUGCAAUGAAAAAGAAGACAGAGAUUCUUUCACAUAGCCAUCCGAUUUGCCCUGCCAAGACGCGGAUAAUCUCAACUUUGCUCGAAUCCACUCAGACACAUAGAAAUUCAUCAUCACAGCCUCUAAAAACAUGUAUAAACCUUAAAUGCUGCUUUGUGCAUUGUGGAUGCUCUUUUAAACUCGGGAACAAGGCGUAACUGAAGUGAUUAGAAUGUGCGAAACCAAAACUGUAGAACCAUAAGGACCAUUUAUGAAAUUUUGUCUAAUAAAUAAUAAUCAUACCAACAGCAGGAAAAUCGAUAAUUUGCGUGUGCUUUAUGAUCGAACAAAUGGGUUGUUGAUUGCUGAAGAAAAUCAUCGACCAUGAAGAUGGAGUUUUGAGUAAAUUGAGUCAAAACCGAACUUCGAUUUGAACAGAGGAGGGCAACAACCCUAGAAAUCCUUCUUCUUAAUCCCCUCUGAGAUGGCCUCAUUUCUUUCUGAGUGGAAAUUCGUUACAUUACAAAACCCUAAUAUUUGGGCGAUUAUACAUGGUGUUUUAGAGGUGGCCUCAUUUCUUUCUCUUCAAGUAUUUUAGUAGUUCCAAUUAUUUUAAUAAAAGUUAUAAAGCCAACUCCAACCAUCCAUUUUAUUACACUGUUUAUGUGUUUUAGGGCAAGAAUACUCCAAUCAACCUUCAACUUUAUCACUAUUUUGUGUUGGUUCAAUUUUAACACCAAGUAUGGAGCCUUCUAAAACCCACUAUUUUAGUUUAGU